ACAGUAUUACGUUUAGUGACGUCAUCACUUUAUGCAUUCGAUCUGCAGUGACAUGUUACUCAUUCGCUUGGUUUAACACGACUCUUUUGCGUCUGGUGUAAUAUAUCGAACAAGAUUUGUUCGUUUGUUGUUUCCCACACCGCUUCAAGAUGAUGCAAUUUAUGUUGCUGUUUAGUCGUCAGGGGAAAUUAAGAUUGCAGAAAUGGUAUGUUGCUCACCCAGACAAAGUAAAGAAGAAGAUUACCCGUGAGCUUGUCACUUUGGUUCUUGCCAGGAAACCAAAGAUGUGCAGCUUUCUGGAAUGGAAAGAUUUGAAAAUAGUUUAUAAAAGAUAUGCCAGCCUUUACUUCUGUUGUGCCAUUGAACCAGCUGACAAUGAAUUAUUAACACUUGAAAUCAUACACAGAUAUGUUGAAUUGCUUGAUAAAUAUUUUGGCAGCGUAUGUGAGCUUGAUAUAAUUUUUAAUUUUGAAAAAGCUUACUUCAUGCUUGACGAGUUAAUGCUUGGCGGUGAAGUGCAGGAAACCAGCAAGAAAAAUGUGUUGAAGGCCAUUGCUGCACAGGACCUAUUACAAGAGUUGGGAGCUUCCACUGUCAAAGAUUUGCCAGGUAGUGGUAUUGUCUUAUACUACUGAGCAAGUGUAUUAAGAUGUGAAGCUAAAAACUCUCAAGUUAGUUUAGACAUUUUAGAGUCAGAAACACCAAAAGGCAUACUUGAAGACAUAGGGAUUUCAUUUCCCAGCUAGUAUCGAUACAUCCUUGGUCAGUGUGCUCCCCAGACUUUUCCAUGGAAAUUUUACACACCGUCUGCUGCCACCAUCACCACCACCAACCACUACUACUAUUACCAGUACCACCUUCAUUACUACUACUACUACCACCACCACCACUGUCACUUAUUCUACAACCAACACUACUACUACUACUACUACCACUACUACUACUACCACUACUACUACUGAUGAUGCCCUGUCAAAACAAGUUAUCACCCUAUACCAAAAGUCACUAUUACUCUCACUCAUUCUUUUUCUAAUAUUCUAAUGACCUUAACAGUGAACCAGUUAAUUUUUUAUUUGAUUAUUAGAGAUUAUCACUUUGUGUCUAGAUAAUUCUUGCUCUUUAUCUCUAAUAAUCUUUCCUUCUGUUUUUCACUACUCCUCUCAUACUUACUUUCUUGGUCUCUCUCUCUCUCUUUCUCUCUCUCUCUCCUCUCUCUCUCCUCUCUCUCUAGCUCUUACUAUUUUCUUUCACCUUUUCCUGCUCCUCUAUCUCUUAUACAGCACUUAUUUAAAUCUUUAUAAUUGCAAUUUUCUUUUUUCUUCCUCGGGAAGGAAGUUUUCUUUUUGUUUUGUUUUAUUUAUUUUUUAUGAGACCAAAAUUUGGUAAAGACAAACUGGCAGUAACAAUGGUAGCAGCAGAUUCUUGAUUUUUGGCAAUUCUUGCAGUAUAGCUGCUCAGUCAGUUGCCGAUUGGCAAUGCUACCUGAUAUCACCAGAGAGGGGAAUAAAUUGACAGCGAAAAUGACUUGCUAAACUACAACAAUAGGAAAAAUAAUUGAAAGAUAGGGAUAGAGAAACAGUGACACACAGAGAAAGUGGGAGGAACUGAACAAAAAGAAAAUGAAUUGGAGUAAAUUCUAUAAAGCUUGGACUGAUUUCUAGUCAUUUCUGCCUAUCUUUAUUUCUCCUCUUCCUCAUUAUUUGUUUGUCUCUUUUACCACCACUUCUACUGUGGCUCUGCAUCUGUUGAUGGCUAUGAAUUGGGUGUUUUGCAAAACCAGGAAUUAAAAAAUGAAUAAAAAGAUAGGAAAAAAUUUUUCUUCAAAAAACAGAAACAAGAAAAAUGUCAACAGAAACUGUUUCUACAAAGAAUAGAAAUGACAACUACUCUAUAGAACGGUUGUGAUGACAGCAUCUGUGAUAAGAAUGGGUGACAGUGAGAAUAUAGGUCUUCUACUACUGCAACAAACACUAAUCUAUUGAUGACUAUGUCUCAAAAUGAUAUAUAAAACAAAAAAUAGUAAUAACAGCUGUGGCAGUGAUUUCUUACCAUAGCAAUAACACAGUAAUUUUAACACAUUUCCUAUAACUGAAGACCUAUUGUACUUGUGUGUUUCAUGUAUGUGUGUGUGUGUGUGUGAAUAUAGACACAUAAAUGUAUAUGUGCUACUAGGUGUUGCAAUUAAGUAUGACCUCAGCUGAUGCAAGUUAUAACCUUGUAGAAGUUCUGCCUGUGUAUACAUAUAUUUAUGUAGUUAAGUAUAUACUUGCAUGUAUAUGUCUAAGUGUGUGUAUAUCUGUAUAUAUGUACACACACAUGUAAUAUGCAUGUAUACAUAUAUAUAUACAUGCGUGCAAGCGCGCACACACACACACAUACACACACAGAUAGAUGCAUGUGUGGUUUGUGUCUGUAAGUGUAUUUGUACUAAAAUGACUGUUUUAAAUUGCAUAUAACUUUAAGAUAAGAACUUGUUCACCUGAAUGUGAGUUAGAUGUCACUGGUGAAAAUAAAAUAUGGAGCAUACAGAUUGAAAUGUCUACUCUAGGAAAAUAAAUAUUUCAAAUAUAUAAUUGGUGUAAAAACAAAAGUAUGUCAAUUAGGACAAUGGUUGGUAUAGAAAGAUUGUUCUUGGAACAGAACACCUAAGAAAUCUUCCUUUUGUAUACAUUUGGUGGCCCUGUAACCUUUCUGCUGUAGCAUGAGAGGUUACUGGAAAAGUGAGCAGGGGGAGGGGUCUUAUAUUUAACCUUUUAUUUUUUGUAAAGGACAUGUUUUACAACACUGCUGAAGGUUGUCCAAGUGUAAAAAAUAUCUAUGUGUCUGUGUUUGCAUAUAUAAAUAUGUAUUUAUGUGUAUGUAUAUAUAUAUAUAUA